rnacentral:rRNA from 1 species
GACGAACGCUGGCGGCGUGCUUAACACAUGCAAGUCGAACGGUGAAGCUCCAGCUUGCUGGAGUGGAUCAGUGGCGAACGGGUGAGUAACACGUGAGCAACCUGCCCCAGACUCUGGAAUAAGCGCUGGAAACGGCGUCUAAUACUGGAUACGAGAUCAAGCCGCAUGGUUAUGGUCUGGAAAGUUUUUCGGUUUGGGAUGGGCUCGCGGCCUAUCAGCUUGUUGGUGAGGUAAUGGCUCACCAAGGCGACGACGGGUAGCCGGCCUGAGAGGGCGACCGGCCACACGGGGAUGGGGAAGGGGCCCAGCCCGCAAGGGGGGGAAGGGGGGGGAAAUUUUGCAAAAAGGGCGAAAGCCUGAUGGAGGGACGCCGGGUGGGGGAGGACGGCUUUCGGGUUGGAAACCUUUUUCAGCAGGGAAGAAGGGAAAGUGAGGGUCCCGGAAAAAAAAGCCCCGGCAAACUAGUG